UUUCUGGUUUAAGAUUCUUCCUUUGUAGAGUUUUCUCUGCGUGGUUCAAUCUUUAGAGCUAGUUGUGCCCAAUACAUCUUGCACAGAAGAGGGAUUCUCAUCAGUUGUGAGCAGUGCAGUUAUCUUCUGGAUUUGGACAUGAAUCAGAAUGUAAUUGCUUUAAAUUGGUUUGAAGAAUGGUAAGAUCCCCUUUCUGCACCCAAAAAAACCAGGUAAAUAUUACAAAUUAGUCCACAACUGUGAAAGAAAGCUGAGUAGGAUAUUCUGCACAAGGUGGACUGACAAUAAGUACUGAACUAAGAAGACUUCAGGGGAGAGAAGAAAGACAAGAUGUAUACUCAACAGCUCUCAUUUUACAUGAAAAUAUGUUCUGACCAUCCUCAUCAUUAUGCUGAGCUCUCAAGUAACUGAGUAGUUGCUACUUUGCAUUAUGGAAGAAACAGAGUUAUGGAGCUACACUGGAGGGUGGAAGGAAGCAUCUUUAUUCUUUUAAUCUUCAUUUUCUCUAUACUUAUUUAUAAAUGUAUUCUGUUUUUCCCCUUCUACAAAGCCAGCAAGAAGUAGUUGAUUAUGGUCCUCUGAGCUAAAACAAAAUGCUAAAAAAAAAUGUUCUGUUCCAUUUUCUUCCUUCUCAAUGGUUUUGAUAUUACAGAUGUAUGACUUUCCUAUGCAGAAGAUCUGAUUAGUAAUUGGGAAGUAGAUAUUCCAAACUUGAAGUUCUUUGUUUAUUGUCUGCUAACAGCACUUUUAAGCAAGUAGCUCCAUUAAGGUUUCUGACAAGAUCAGGCCUCAACAUUCUCUUGUUUUUUUAAAGCUGAAUAGAUCAGAACACAAUUUAGCUUAAAAAAGUGACAACAAACUGAAGGUGUUUAGUUAGCUCUGUUAGUUGUUAACUCACUGGAGGAUUUUUUCUGUUUAAAGUGCUGUUUAUUUUUUUGCUCUCUUUAAGAGUAUAUGUGUGGAAACUGUAUGAGCCCUGAUAUAGCUCAAGAAAUGUAAAGAAUAUGUAUGAAGUAUAAUGUAGCAAAUCCGGUAUUGUUACUUUUUGACUUCAUGCAAACUCCAGUGGAAAAAUGUGAUAGUUAUCAUCUGAAUGCUAUAAUUCAACAAAAUUGCUGUUUGUGCCACUAUAUGAUGUAAAGAAAUCAAACUAAUCCAGUGUUUUUUGGAACAUGUGCACACAUUUGCAUAUAUGUGCAUGUUUAUUCUAAAAUAUAACCUGAAUACACUAUUUACACCCUGAUUGAAAAGAGCUGGUAAAUUUUGCCAGCUGUCAAGGAAUAAACUGACAAAAUAG
rnacentral:lncRNA from 1 species